UCGAGCGAGACCUUCGGGUCUAGCGGCGGACGGGUGAGUAACGCGUGGGAACGUGCCCUUCUCUGCGGAAUAGCCACUGGAAACGGUGAGUAAUACCGCAUACGCCCUUCGGGGGAAAGAUUUAUCGGAGAAGGAUCGGCCCGCGUCUGAUUAGGUAGUUGGUGGGGUAAUGGCCUACCAAGCCUACGAUCUAUAGCUGGUUUUAGAGGAUGAUCAGCAACACUGGGACUGAGACACGGCCCAGACUCCUACGGGAGGCAGCAGUGGGGAAUCUUAGACAAUGGGCGCAAGCCUGAUCUAGCCAUGCCGCGUGAGUGAUGAAGGCCUUAGGGUCGUAAAGCUCUUUCGCCUGUGAUGAUAAUGACAGUAGCAGGUAAAGAAACCCCGGCUAACUCCGUGCCAGCAGCCGCGGUAAUACGGAGGGGGUUAGCGUUGUUCGGAAUUACUGGGCGUAAAGCGCACGUAGGCGGAUUAGAAAGUUAGGGGUGAAAU
rnacentral:rRNA from 1 species